UCCGUAGGCGGCCUGGAAAGUUGGAUGUGAAAUCCCACAGCUUAACUGUGGAACUGCGUCCAAAACUAUCAGGCUUGAGGAUGGUAGGGGACAGUGGAACUCCAGGUGGAGCGGUGAAAUGCGUAGAGAUCUGGAGGAACACCGGUGGCGAAAGCGACUGUCUGGGCCAUUCCUGACGCUGAGGGACGAAAGCUAGGGGAGCAAACG
rnacentral:rRNA from 1 species